rfam:Oryza sativa (indica cultivar-group) chromosome 6, whole genome shotgun sequence.
AAAAAAGCAAAUACUGAAUUUCCGUGCCAACAUUUGACUAUCCGUCUUAUAAUUUUUUUUAUAAAUAGUAUUUUCAUUGUUGUUAAAUGAUAAAAUAUGAUUAAUACUUUAUACGUGACUUAUCUUUUUAAUUUUUUUCAUAAUUUUUUCAAAUAAAACGGCUGGUCAAACGUUGGACACGGAAACUAGGGUUUAUU